AUGGCCUCCGAGGUAGCUGGUCUUAGCCCUCCGAGGUCUCACCGGGAGCCGGAGGGGCGCCCGCGACAGGACAAGUAUUCGGUGCUACUGCCCACCUACAACGAGCGCGAGAACCUACCGCUCAUCGUGUGGCUGCUGGUGAAAAGCUUCUCCGAGAGUGGAAUCAACUAUGAAAUUAUAAUCAUAGAUGAUGGAAGCCCAGAUGGAACAAGGGACAUUGCUGAGCAGUUGGAGAAGAUCUAUGGGUCAGACAGAAUUCUUCUGAGACCACGGGAGAGAAAGCUGGGAUUGGGAACUGCAUAUAUACAUGGAAUGAAACAUGCCACAGGAAACUACAUAAUUAUUAUGGAUGCUGAUCUCUCACACCAUCCAAAAUUUAUUCCUGAGUUCAUUAGGAAGCAAAAGGAAGGUAAUUUUGACAUUGUCUCUGGAACUCGCUACAAAGGAAAUGGAGGUGUUUAUGGCUGGGAUUUGAAAAGAAAAGUAAUCAGCCGUGGGGCCAAUUUUAUAACUCAGAUUUUGCUGAGACCAGGAGCAUCUGAUUUAACAGGAAGUUUCAGGUUAUAUCGAAAAGAAGUUCUACAGAAAUUAAUAGAAAAAUGUGUUUCUAAAGGCUACGUCUUCCAGAUGGAAAUGAUUGUUCGGGCAAGACAGUUGAAUUAUACUAUUGGCGAGGUUCCAAUAACAUUUGUGGAUCGUGUUUACGGUGAAUCCAAGUUGGGAGGAAAUGAAAUAGUCUCUUUCUUGAAAGGAUUAUUGACUCUUUUUGCUACUACAUAAAAGAAAGUUACUCAUUUAUAUUUAUCAUGUUCAUUUCAACUUAAAUAUAAAGGAAGUCUGGUUGCUGAUUUUUAUAAAAUGUACUCUUAGAGCAUAAAUCAUAGAUCCUACCAGAAAUGAAUACCAGAGUGGUGUCAUUUUGAACGUUGCCUGUUCCCAUAGUUGAAUCCAUAGAACGCAUUGCAAUAAGGGCCUCUACUAUUACUGUAUUUCCCUUUUACACAGAGCUGUGCAGUGGCCCAGCAGGGACCCACCUUACUCAGAAAGUGACUUCUCUCAUUAAUUACUGGGAAAUUCAUCACUGUUUGAUGUAAAAUUACUUUUAAGCUAACAUAAUAGAAAUAUAAUAUCCUUUUUAAAAAGUAUUUAGAAAUCUGUUCUUUUUCAUCUAAACCCAAAGUUCAGUUUUCAUUGUUAAGUAUGUGGAGCAGAGAUGAAAUAACUUGCCUCAGAGAACCCACUAAGAGUAUUGCCUUCUCAGACCUCCAUUAGCGUAGAUACCUUUUGCUUUUUAAAUCUUUUCAGUUCUUAUUCCCACAAUCAUUACAAUACUAUCACUUAUUGGAGUUUACAAUAAAAUAAGUAUUUGAGCAGUGAAGACUUUCACCAUUUGGAAGUUAUUUAGAGAAGAAUCUAGAGUAUUUAGAUGCAUUUUUGUACUAAAUGUGGUGACUUAAACACUAAAAUCAUUUACAUGUGAAUCUAGCAUCCCUUUUUACUUUGUAAAUGAGGCCAAGAAUGAAAUCCAGAUGUUCUCCCUUUGUAUUACCACUGUAUGAAAUCUAAGUAUAUCUAAGGAAAGCUAAACUUAAGAUAAAAAUUUUGCUUAUUUCA